rnacentral:lncRNA from 1 species
ACUUUGCUCUCGCACUGUUACGAGCUCAGGAGGUUUCACACCAGUAUCCCUAUGGACACGUGAGUAAUGCAUCAUGGUCCAGCCUGACAGCAAGCAUCUAGCAACAAGGCCGUCUCAGCUCCAUCAUAGUCUUAUGGGACUUCUGCUCUGUACAGUGUGUUGUUACCCGAGGUGUUAUUGGCUGGUUGGGAGUCCCAGGGCCAAUGACAAGCCUGGGGCCAAGUGGUUUCUCUGAUUCUUGGAUAUCCAGGUGCCAUUGGGAGUUGUGGAAGAGCCAAGAACAGAGUUGGGGGGCCUGAGGGCUGGAGACAGCAUCUAGCCUGGGGCCUGGGGGAAGGGGAGUUCCCUGUCUUGUCCCAGCAGUGAUUGUCCUUAGCUUGUGUGGCUGGGAGUACAGAGAGGCCUUCUACAGGAGAAUUAAGCUGUGGCUCUGUAGUCCAAUGCCUUUUCUGUGGCUCUCCAUGACAGAUCCUGAUGAAAGAGACAGUCCGUAGUUCUAAAAUGUUUAUUGGCUGUUCAUGGUGGAAAAUGGAUGCAUACUGUACCGUACUCAAUUCUCAGGGUGGACCUGAGAUUAAAUACCUUUUGCAGGGAGCAAUGUCUGAGAAGGGAAGCUUAUUGGCUAAGCCCUCUGGUCCUCUAGGUACUUCACUAGCAUGGUGAACUCUGUUCUGGGCCUGCAUGGUCACAGGUCCCGUUUCCUUAUGUGAGGAGUGUUGGCACGUGUUCCAUGCCAGGAAUCUGGCUAGGAAUGGAGAGUCACCUAAGCCUCAGGUAUGUGCCCAAGUCUCCCGGUCUCAACCUGCUCUACCUUACCAAGCUUCCUGGCAUGGUUUUACUGCCCAACAUUGUGACAAAGUUUUUACACAGUCAAAAAGGAAAGCUGGUUCAUUUUUGUGCAUUAACCAGAACCAAAUGUGUGCUGUGGUGCUUUGAAAGAAACCGUCCCCCUAGGCCCAUAGGGAAUGGCACUAUUAGGAGGUGUGGCUUUGUUGGAGGAGGUGUAUCACUAGGGGGUAGGCUUUGAGGUCUCAGCCGCUCCAGGCUUGCCAGUGUGUCACUGUCUCUUCCUGCUGCUUACAUAUCCAGAUGUAGAACUCUCAGCUUCCUCUCUGUGCCACCACUCUUCCACCAUGAUGAUAAUGGACUAAACCUCUAAAACUGUAAGCCAGCCCCAAUUAAAUGUUUUCCUUUAUAAGAGUUGCCAUGGUUAUGGUGUCUUUUCACAGCCAUGAAACCCUAACUUAAAAGUGUGUUGCUUAUCCUUUGUUAAUCUCUAAGUUUUUGGAGUUAUUUCUCACUGGGAGGACGCAUUAAUACGAUAACAUUAUAACUGGUUUCCCUCAAGAUGCACUGAUUCUGUAAUGUGUUUCAGAACUUCAUUCCUCUUGAUGAACC